GGGGAUUUAGCUCAGUGGUAGAGCGCUUGCCUAGCAAACGCAAGGCCCUGGGUUCGGUUCCCAGCUCCG
rfam:Rattus norvegicus chromosome 8, whole genome shotgun sequence.